rnacentral:hammerhead_ribozyme from 1 species
GCGCUGCUGACGAGUCCCAAACAGGACGAAACAGCUGCCCAGUGC